CCCAAUGUCUUUAACAAGGAUAAAUGAAAUUCAAUAAAUGACCAGAGAGCGCGCACCUCCUUAUAUCUCAACCAAGGGCCCUUUCCCACCCACUACUAUGAAGUGGCCACAAUUUCAAACCACCUCCCUUCCCAUAGCGUUAGAUGACCCAGGGCGCUCAUCAAAAUUGAGAUUUAUUAAUCAUUCAUUACCACCAAACUAUACACUUGAAAUAUUAAACCGUCUCAACAACCUUGCUGGGGUAACUUAGAGCAUCAUAAUCGAAUCACAAUGGCAUUACCACUUGAUGACUCAUGGCAUUCUGGAAUAAUGCAGGAGAAGGAAACCAACCCCAUGGAUUCUACCAUUGCCACAAGCUGUCAUGUUUAAAUACCAUGUGUCGUGGGCAGGAAGGCAUGGAGACAGUGGUAAUAGAGUUGGCUUUCUUCUUCACAUGUCCUCGGCCUUCUGAAGCACCAUGGUACAGCAGAAAGCAUCAACUUUGGAAGCAGAACUAGCUUUACUUACAAGUUAUAUGAUGUUGAACAGGCUAUUAAAAGCUCUUUCAAUCUCAGUUUCCUCAUCUGAUAAAUGGGGACGGCAGGAGUAUUUUAUAGGCUCCCAGUAAAGGUUGGCUCCCUUCCCUGUGCUGCAACUUCACACAGUUUAUGUCUUCAUUCUCCCCCACGUAACACAGGUUGUUUUUCUCAUCUUCAACAAGGAAGUAGAUGAAUGUAAGAAGACUCUUGGUAAUACAA